rnacentral:rRNA from 1 species
CAUGGCUCAGGAUGAACGCUAGCUACAGGCUUAACACAUGCAAGUCGUGGGGCAGCGGAUGCUUAGCUUGCUAAGUAUGCCGGCGACCGGCGCACGGGUGAGUAACGCGUACCGAACCUGCCCAUCACACAGGGAUAGGCUUGCGAAAGCAAGAUUAAUACCUGAUGGUCUCAGUUGUAUGCAUGUAUGAUUGAGUAAAGCCUUCGGGCGGUGAUGGAUGGCGGUGCGUCCCAUUAGGAAGUUGGCGGGGUAACGGCCCACCAAUCCUUCGAUGGGUAGGGGUUCUGAGAGGAAGGUCCCCCACAUUGGAACUGAGAUACGGUCCAAACUCCUACGG